ensembl:lncRNA novel transcript, antisense to SLC19A1
GGGGCGGGGCGGCCCGCGUGGGGAGUGCCUGAGGCUGGCCUAGGCCCUGGGACCGUAGCCUCCCGAGCAGGGUGGGCUCCACGCGAACGGCGGGCGCUGGCAGAAAGCGACCCACGCAGAGUUCCGCGCCAGCCGAGGGGCCCGGCUGCCGCCCAUGCGCGGUCCUGGAGGUGCCGGGAGGGGGUCGCGGACCCUGAGGCAGGAUCCACGUGGUCCCUGCGGGCCCAGUGAGUGACAUCACCGCGACGCUGCGCAUGGAGCAAGCUCUACACCCGGGAGAUGGCCACGGUGCGCAUGCAGCAAGGUCUACUCCCGCGAGGUGACCACGGGACAGACGAUCCUCUGAGGUUUCCAGGAAGACCCCCGCCCUAAUCCUCUGAAGGUCGGAGGUCACAGGUCAAAGCCGAGAACAGAAGCUGGGGUGGGGCACACAGAGGUGGAAAGAGGGGCCUGAGCAUCGGGCGGCCACCAGCAGGGUCCCCUCCUGGCCACAAGGACGCUCCCGUUCCAGUCCCCGGAAGAGGGUGGCUGCAGCCACCCCGGGGAUGACCAGCAGAGGUCCUCACGGCCUGCGGCCCGGGGAGACCUGAGACUCCUAAGCUGAGCACGUCAGCGUCUCUACCUCCACCGCAGACAGAAAGACCGGGCGGACCCAAGACUGCAAGCUCAAGCCCUGGCGGCAGGGCAGCGGGGCCUGUGAGGGCCGAGGGUGGACGCUGCUCUGAGCCAGACCCGCUCGUCAGCAGCUCGGCCUCCCCCGCUGCUCCCCACCAGCGCCCGGGCUUGGGUGUUUGGUGCUUCCAACUUUUCAAGAGAAGCUUGAAAUCUGUAAUUCUUAUGUGAAAUCCUGCCUUUCUUAACUAAUUAAAGACUUAAAAUUAGCUAGUUAAAAUUAAUUAAAAUUGAUUAAAUUUGUACUAAUUAAAACUAACUGAAUUCUUCUCAAAA